CCUACGGGAGGCAGCAGUGGGGAAUUUUGGACAAUGGGGGAAACCCUGAUCCAGCGAUGCCGCGUGUGUGAAGAAGGCCUUCGGGUUGUAAAGCACUUUAAGCAGGGAAGAACCAGCCUGACCUAACACGUCCGGCCCUGACGGUACCUGCAGAAUAAGCACCGGCUAACUCUGUGCCAGCAGCCGCGGUAAUACAGAGGGUGCAAGCGUUAAUCGGAUUUACUGGGCGUAAAGCGUGCGUAGGUGGUUCAGUAUGUCGGUCGUGAAAUCCCCGGGCUUAACCUGGGAACUGCGGCCGAAACUGCUGGGCUAGAGUGUGGUAGAGGGAGGUGGAAUUCCGGGUGUAGCGGUGAAAUGCGUAGAUAUCCGGAGGAACACCGAUGGCGAAGGCAGCCUCCUGGGCCACAACUGACACUGAGGUACGAAAGCGUGGGGAGCAA
rnacentral:rRNA from 1 species